rnacentral:rRNA from 1 species
GACGAGCGCUGGCGGCGUGCCUAAUACAUGCAAGUCGAGCGAAUCAAUAGGAGCUUGCUCCUGUUGGUUAGCGGCGGACGGGUGAGUAACACGUGGGCAACCCGCCUGUAAGACUGGGAUAACACCGGGAAACCGGUGCUAAUACCGGAUAAUCCUUUUUCUCUCAUGAGGGAAAGCUGAAAGUCGGUUUCGGCUGACACUUACAGAUGGGCCCGCGGCGCAUUAGCUAGUUGGUGAGGUAAUGGCUCACCAAGGCGACGAUGCGUAGCCGACCGGAGAGGGUGAUCGGCCACACUGGGACUGAGACACGGCCCAGACUCCUACGGGAGGCAGCAGUAGGGAAUCUUCCACAAUGGACGAAAGUCUGAUGGAGCAACGCCGCGUGAACGAUGAAGGCCUUCGGGUCGUAAAGCUCUGUUGUUAGGGAAGAACAAGUACCGGAGUAACUGCCGGUACCUUGACGGUACCUAACCAGAAAGCCACGGCUAACUACGUGCCAGCCGCCGCCGUAACAC